rnacentral:lncRNA from 1 species
UCCUGCGCCGCCGCCGCCAACACCCCUCAGCCCAACUGCCGCGGGCUUAGCUGGCCGAAGGAAGCGCGGGGAGCGAGCGAGCGGGCGGGCGGGCGGGCGGGGGAGAGUUUCCCGAAGAAGAGCCGGAGGAAAGUGGCGGCGCGCCGUCUCCGGCGGCUUAUCCGGGGCCGGCGGGACCCGCGUCCGAGCGCCCCGAAAGAACGGCCGAGGGGGAGGGGGGCAGUCAGCCGGCCGGGACCCAGGAGAAGGAGCGUUAGCCCCGCGCGGCAGAGGGAGGCGGCGGCGGCGGCGGCGGCGGCGAGGAAAUGGAUGCUCUCGGCGAGUUCCUGCUGGCGGGGAAAGUUUUGCUUGGGGUCCUCCCGCAGCCAGGCUUAAAGCCGCCUCGGUGUCCGGGCUCUUCUGAUUGGACGCUUCCAGCGCCUAUCGGAGCGCGCGCCCACAGUCCAAGCGGCGGCAGCGGGAGGCAGCGGGCGGGCGGGCGCGGAGGGCGGCCGCCCCGAGGCGGUCUGGCCUCAGCCUGACGCUGAAGGGAGCUUUUGCGGCGGAGCUUGGCUCGCUCUCGGACGCUCUGAGGCUCGGACGCUCUGCUUGGAGCCGAGCGACGGACUGCCGGGAUGUAGGAAAACGAGAAGCUUCGAGGUCCCCCCACCCCACCCCACCCCACCCCCUCGUCUCUCCCAUCUGCCCUCAGAAAGGAGACGCGUCAGGAGCUUGCAAGAGGAGCCGCUUCUCAAGUGUCAGCCAAGGGGAACGAAAUUCUGUGCAAAUCAAUUAUUGCAGGCUUUAGAAGGAGGAGAAGGAGAAGGAGAAGGAGAAGGAGAAGGAGAAGAAGGAGAAGAAGAAGAAGAAGAAGAAGAAGAAGAAGAAGAAGAAGAAGAAGAAGAAGAAGAAGAAGAAGAAGAAGAAGAAGAACCACCCACCGUCAGCCAAGCCAGCUCACCAACCUACCCCCCUCUUCCCCCUCCUUUCCUCGGCCCAUCACUUUGCUGGCUACCCAUCCAUCUAACCCUUCAGCCAACCAACUGGCCUCCUUCUCCUUUUCAAGAUUGGCUCGUUCCCGAAGCAAAUAUUGGGGCUCCCUCUGCCGCCAGGCUCUUCAGUCGACGUGCCUGA